AUUGAACGCUGGCGGCAGGCCUAACACAUGCAAGUCGAACGAAGUGGCGCACGGGUGAGUAACGCGUAAUCAACCUGCCGUUCAGGGGGGGACAACAGUUGGACACGACUGCUAAUACCGCAUACUUACGGAGGGGCUUGAGUCUGAUUAGCUAGUGGUAGGGGUAACGGCUCACCAAGGCGAUGAUCAGUAGCCGGUCUGAGAGGAUGAUCAGUCACACUGGAACUGAGACACGGUCCAGACUCCUACGGGAGGCAGCAGUGGGGAAUAUUGGACAAUGGGCGAAAGCCUGAUCCAGCCAUGCCGCGUGUGUGAAGAAGGUCUUCGGAUUGUAAAGCACUUUAAGUUGGGAGGCGUUACCAACAGAAUAAGCACCGGCUAACUUCGUGCCAGCAGCCGCGGUAAUAC
rnacentral:rRNA from 1 species